rnacentral:rRNA from 1 species
GUCGAGCGAUCUUCUUCGGAAGAGAGCGGCGGACGGGUGAGUAACGCGUGGGUAACCUGCCCUGUACACACGGAUAACAUACCGAAAGGUAUGCUAAUACGGGAUAACAUAAGAGAGUCGCAUGGCUAUCUUAUCAAAGCUUUUGCGGUACAGGAUGGACCCGCGUCUGAUUAGCUAGUUGGUAAGGUAACGGCUUACCAAGGCGACGAUUAGUAGCCGACCUGAGAGGGUGAUCGGCCACAUUGGAACUGAGACACGGUCCAAACUCCUACGGGAGGCAGCAGUGGGGAAUAUUGCACAAUGGGCGAAAGCCUGAUGCAGCAACGCCGCGUGAGCGAUGAAGGCCUUCGGGUCGUAAAGCUCUGUCCUCAAGGAAGAUAAUGACGGUACUUGAGGAGGAAGCCCCGGCUAACUACGUGCCAGCAGCCGCGGUAAUACGUAGGGGGCUAGCGUUAUCCGGAAUUACUGGGCGUAAAGGGUGCGUAGGCGGUCUUUCAAGUCAGAAGUGAAAGGCUACGGCUCAACCGUAGUAAGCUUUUGAAACUGUAAGACUUGAGUGCAGGAGAGGAGAGUGGAAUUCCUAGUGUAGCGAUGAAAUGCGUAGAUAUUAGGAGGAACACCAGUUGCGAAGGCGGCUCUCUGGACUGUAACUGACGCUGAGGCACGAAAGCGUGGGGAG